AAUCUGCCCGCCGGGUCAUGGGAAUAACGCCGGCGGAUCGCUGGUCAGCAUCGUUUAUGGUUAGAACUAGGGCGGUAUCUGAUCGCCUUCGAACCUCUAACUUUCGUUCUUGAUUAAUGAAAACAUCCUUGGCAAAUGCUUUCGCAGUAGUUCGUCUUGCGACGGUCCAAGAAUUUCACCUCUAGCGUCGCAAUACGAAUGCCCCCGCCUGUUCCUAUUAGUCAUUACCUCGGGUUCAGAAAACCGACAAAAUAGAACCGAGGUCCUAUUCCAUUAUUCCAUGCAUAGGCAUUCAGGCCGUAAGUGUAGCCUGCUUUGAGCACUCUAAUUUUUUCAAAGUAAACUCUGCCGGCCACGCGGGACACUCGAUGAAGAGCACCCCGUGCGAGCCAGCGGGCUGUUGUGGCUGUUCGGAGCGUGACAGUAUGCACCGGGCGGUGAACCGUCAGUCCAGAACUGAAAUCCAACUACGAGCUUUUUAACCGCAACAACUUUAAUAUACGCUAUUUGAGCUGGAAUUACCGCGGCUGCUGGCACCAGACUUGCCCUCCAAUAGAUCCUCGUUAAAGGAUUUAAAGUGUACUCAUUCCGAUUGCGAGGCCUCGGAUGAGUCUCGCAUCGUUAUUUUUCGUCACUACCUCCCCGUGCCGGGAGUGGGUAAUUUGCGUGCCUGCUGCCUUCCUUAGAUGUGGUAGCCGUUUCUCAGGCUCCCUCUCCGGAAUCGAACCCUGAUUCCCCGUUACCCGUUAUAGCCAUUGUAGGCGCAUAACCUACAAUCGAAAGCUGAUAAGGCAGACACUUGAAAGAGGCGGCGCCGGUGCGGAGACCGUGCGCUCAGCGACAAGUUAUUCAGAUUCAACACGGUGGGGUGACGGACCGAGGCCCGACCGGUUUUGAACUAAUAAAAGCGCUCUUCCCUUGCGGUCAGAGACGUGGUGCAUGUAUUAGCUCUAGAAUUACCACAGUUAUCCAAGUAAGUGUGGGUACAGAUCCAAUGAAUCAUAGCUGAUUUAAUGAGCCAUUCGCGGUUUCGCCUUAAAUCGGCUUGUACUUAGACAUGCAUGG